UACGUAGGGGGCUAGCGUUAUCCGGAAUUACUGGGCGUAAAGAGUGCGUAGGCGGUCUUUCAAGCCAGAAGUGAAAGGCUACGGCUCAACCUGUAGUAAGCUUUUGGAACUGUAAGACUUGAGUGCAGGAGAGGAGAGUGGAAUUCCUAGUGUAGCGGUGAAAUGCGUAGAUAUUAGGAGGAACACCAGUAGCGAAGGCGGCUCUCUAGUACGGUACUGACGCUGAGACGCGAAAGCGUGGGGAGCGAACAGG
rnacentral:rRNA from 1 species